AGUUACUUGGGGAGACCAAGAAAUGAAAGCACCUGAAACGAAGAGCAAGCGAGGAGGGAGUGAAUCCUGGGACACUAACCAAAGGAUGGAAGUCAAGACUGUUCUAAAGUUUCCUCUGGCAUUUAUGGAAGCUGAUAAUUCUUAGAAUUAAUGUCCAAAAAGGGAAUUACUAACACAAGGAUAAAACAUAUCUUGUAUCCCUUCUCACGGACGUGUACACACUCACCAUAAGGUAUGCAAGUAAGAACACUCUAUACACUGGGCUUCACUUCUGAAACUUAAUUAGACUGCAGCAUUAGCUUGAAUGUCAAGCUUGACUGUGAGGAAGCCUACUAAUGAAUAUGAAAUCAAGCACAACUUUGGAAUAAACUAAGAAAAAGGAUUUUCAGUUACGGGAUUACGUAUGCCAUUCCACUGGAAGUGUUAAGCGUUGAUCAAGCCAAUGAAGUCUUGCAACCUGUACGUGUGGUGGAGCAUGAUCUUGGAUAUUGUCAGCAAAAGAUGUGAGCUCCUCCCAAAAAAAGUAAUUUGCUUUCCAGCCAUGAAAAUGCAAGUGACCAUGGAUGUUGGGUAAAGUCGUGCAGAACUGGUGACUGCGUUCUACUCCUUUUCCUAGCAGUCCAUCAUUUUCCUGUGUUGGCGGCAGUAUAACUGCAUUUGAGGAAACAUUGGUGUAGGCAGGAUGGCUGUGUGGGUGUUUCAUGGCUUUAGUCUAUGUUGGCAAGGUUGGAAAGCACUGCAUGAUUUGGAGCUGAGAACUAAAAGUAUUAGCAAGCUGAGGGAGGAAUCCCGAUUCCUUCUGACUCCAUUACUGAACCUGGCAGCAUCUAAGAUGCCGUCAGGGAUGACAUUCUAUAUGAUCUGGUUUUCUCCUGGUCCUGCCUGAUAGCAGCAGCAGGAAGUGUGAAGAAAAUCAAAACAGUGCUUUGCAAGGCUUAAAUGUAGUAAUUCACCUUUAUCUUAUGUGCUGAAUAAACAUUCUGAAGAGCUUAAUAACUGCCUGGUCACCUUCAGGGAGAUGCUUCAGCCCAACAGGCCAGACUGAAGAAGCAGCACGUAGAAGGCAUGCCAGGAGAGCAUGGCAGCCUGCACAACCCUAUGGGAAGGUAGAGGGAGGAAAAUUACAGAAUAAUGUAGAUAAUACCCCAAGAGAGUACAUGUGAAGAAACUGUGGAAAAUAAAGGAUUUCCAGUCAGCGCAGGUCUGCGGGCUGGAUGGGCACCGCCAGCUCUGCGGCCAAAGGGCUGCUCGUCCUCCUCGGGAAGCCCCUGUCCCGGCAUCAGAGCCCAAUAUGAAAAGUGGACUUCAGAGCACUGUGAAGGUUUAUGAGUCUAAAAUACAGAAAAUGAACCAAAGGGUUGUUUUUUUUUCUUUUAUUUUUAGAAAGUUGUUUUGAUUUUUAAACUAAUACCAUGAGCUUCUGGGCAUAGGUCAUAAUUUUUUAAUGCCUAAGAGGAAAAAUAUUGAACUGAUUUGUGCACAUAAAGGAAAUAUUUCUGUCUAGGAGUAUAUCCUGCGUGAGGUACAUUGCUAGACAUAUGGCAAAUAAACCAUUUAUUUUCGAUAAGUAUUGCAUAUAUUUUAUGCUAGUUAUCUGCACAGAUAUUAAUUCCAUCAGAGACUAAUUAUCCAAUAUCCUUAAAUAACAUGCUCAGUGUUCCUCAUACUGUUAGGUUAGAUUUCAUGGCAAAAGAUUGACUGUUCUGUUUUUUCAUGAAGAAAAAUAGCAUAAAAAAGAAUCCUACAUAAUGUAAUCACAGGUGCUUAAGUCAAAAUAUCUCUGUGCAGUAUGACAGACACAGGAAGAGCCUUGCUAAUAGAGAUGACUGUUUUGUUUCCUUUAGAAGUAGAUCAUUUAUAUCAUGACAGGAAAUUCAGAGCGUCUAGUAGCGACUUGUUCCUUUUCUUUGUCUGUCAACUACAAAUCCAGUUGAUUUUAACUAUAACUUUUUUUGAUGCAAAAUGGCAAUAGGUAUUGUGACAAAUAGGCCAGUGUCUCACAUUUUUGUACCAAACUCUAAACCAUUUUGAUCUGUUUUGGGGAUUAGAUUGCAAUAUGAUCUUUCUUCCCCGGAGGAGUCAGAGUGUUCAAGGUGCCCUGCCCUCUGAUCUGCCAACCAUAUCUCCGAAACUGUAGGAACCAAAGUUAUUGUCUUGCCCUCUAUGCAAGCCCAGGAAUGUGGAAAACAUUCCACCUAAUUCUCCCCACUUAGUCCUGCUUCAGCUGAUGAAUGCAAUGAGUCAGCCUGUAUCAAUAAGCAAUCAUCUAAUUGCUUAUUGAAAAGAAUAUGGCAAUGCACCUGAAAUAGCUUUGGCUGUUUAAAUACUUGGCUUUUCUGAGGAUAAAAUGCUGUUAUGAUGGCAUGAGCCUCAGUCUGGGCUGCAUGUGUCUUCCCGGCAUCGGCACUGGGUGAGUAUACCUAGUUCAUCUCUUAAAACUUCCCUGCUCUUUGUACCAGACUACCUAGGUUAAAAUCAAGGUUUAGGUAUCCACAGCGUAAUUGUAGUGUGCAUUGCCUAAGGUCAGAGUGGUCCCAGUCUGGUCUGCUCUAACUCCUUGCAAGUGGUGCAAUAUACUGCUGGCGUCUUGGGAGUUGUUUCAGAGAUAGCUAAGUUUCCUGCAUUGCUGUUAUUUAUAUUGAAAAUGUAAACACAGGUGAAUAGAUUUUAGACAUAAUUUCUUUCUCAUUUCUUUUUCAGAUGUAAACGAAAUGGUUAAGUAUAAGUAAUGUGAUAAAGUAAUCAGAUUCCAUGUAAAAUUUUCUUUAGAGAAUUCAGUGAGAAACUUAAUUUUAAGAGAUCUAAUUCAAUAGGUUUCUUCAGUAACUUCUAAAUAGAAAUAGGAUCAUAGAUCCUCGACUAAGAAAAUAUCUGACUAAUCUUUGUGUAUUGUGGGGGUUUUUUUAAUCCCAAAAUACAGCUUUAAGUUGCAAGGAUUGUGAAUUUACAUGCGUUUCAUCAUAGUUUCUCAGAGGUCAAAAUAGCAUGCAGACACUACACAGCUGUGAUACUAUCCUUAUCUUAAAUAUUUUAGGAACAAAACACUUAUUAAAGGUGGCUAGCUCUAUCAGAUAAGUAUAAAAAGUGGAAAAUUAGGGAAGAAAUGGAAGCUGAGACAGUCUGGUUUGGUGUAUCUCUUUCACUUGCUAGUAAAAAUGCAUUUUAAAAUGCUUUCACAAGUUUAAUAUCUCCUUAUGUGAUAUUAAUUUAAAUAAAUGAUUCUUGAGUAUAUCUGGCCAUUUCCAAAGGCCAACAUGAGCAUGGAUGAGGACUGAUUCUUGAUCGCGUGGAACUUCUUUAAGCCUGUACAAAGCUGAAGCAAGGACAUGCCACCAUAGUGGUCAUCUGGGAGAGCUCAUUAAAAGAGUGAGUGGAAAGGAACAUAUUUUAACUUAAUAGUCUAACAACAUUAUGGGGGACACUAUAGUAAAUCAGAAGUUCCCACCUUCUGAUUCCAUGGAAUAAAGAACUGUAAUUGAGAAGGCUCAUAAUGUCUUGAAGUUCCCCUACUGAGGAUGACCACAACUGAUACAUAACAUGCAGUUUUAGGAAAGAGCUGAUGAUAAAAUAUUAGAAUAGCCUAGUGUAAACAGCUGGCUCAGUAUGUUGUGCAGGUGUAAAGGGACAGAAGAAUCAUGGUUCCUUCAGUUCAUGUGCUGUGUAAUCCCGGUGUAUAAAUAUAGCCUUAGCAUAUGUGCAUCUUUUCAUUAUCACCACUCGCUUGUACCAUUGAUACCUAUUAUGCUCUGUAUGGUUUUUAUCCUCUAUAAUCCUUUUAUCCUCUCUGUGACUUUGCAAAUGUACUCCAUAAUGCUUUGAAGAUUAAUCCCAUAAUUAAAGGACAUAGUUAAAUAAUGAAAUUCUGGCUUGCUUAUACUGAAGUGGCAUGUACAAUCUUCAACCAUUAAAGCACAUCUAAAAGCAUAUUUCACUUGAAGUAACAAGGUACAAGCUAAUAUUUUCAAAAGAAGGACUUACAGCUGCUGAUUCAUGACAUACCAGGUAAGCCUGAAUAUUGCAUCAUAUAUUAUGCUUUGGCUGGAAUAUACUUCACUUAAGCCAUAACGUUUAAUUUGUCUCUACUAUUGACAUAUGACAGUAGCAACACCUUUCCUGUUUAUUAAACAGAAAAGGCUUAAUUUUACCAGUACACCAGGGUAAUAACCCACAACGGAUUGAAGAGGCAGUGAUAUGCGCUGAAUCAAAAUCUAAAUGUCCUACGGCACAAAUUACUCCAAUUCCUAUUUGGUGCCUUGUCUGCCUAUAGGAUAAGCAGGUCAUAAGCUCAUUCAAGUGGAGUCCUGUUUCUUCAGUUACCAAUUUGUUCUGAUAGCUGCCUUCAUUUGGGAAAGCUGUCCCACAUCUCCUGCAAUAACAAAGUCAUCCCACUGCCUGAACAAUAACAGACUAAGCGGUCCUGCCUGCUGCCAGAAUUCAGCAAGGUACAGAUGGAAGUUACAAUCAUCAGAUGUUUGAGCAGCAGCAUACCCUGCUCCUAGUCAUUUGUACUGAAGUGUUUCACCUGGGGGAGUACUUUAUCCAUUUGAUCUCUUCAGUUUUGGCUUGAAAUGGAACCCUGGUGAUGACUUUUUAUAGUAACUGGUCCCUCAGAUAGCACUAGGACUUCCCUUAACUUGCAGCCAUGGGGGGGGGAAAAAUGAUGUGUUAAGAUCAAAAUAGGAAUUCUGUCCUUUUUUUUAGAUAAAAAGCUGCAUCUGAUAGAGCGUUAUAGAGGUACUAAGCGAAAUACCGUCUGUCCUGUGAGUAAAACCCUGAGGCUAGAACUGACUGAAUCAUAACAAAUGUUUCGGUAACUGCCAAAAUACCUGUAGGAAGCAUGACCUUGUUGAGUGACUGAGCACAUGUAAUUUUGAAUGAAGUCAGCAACACCGUGUGCAUUACUUGAAAAAGUUUGAAGAAAAUACUGUCAUGCGCCACCCCUGUGCAGGCUAUGUAGGGUAAGGGGGAAUUUCAGGCAAACGUGAGGGGGUAAAAGAAACAAUGGAAAGGGUUUUAUUGAGCUUGAGGCCUUGAUUGGAGAGGAGAGGAUCAAGAGAGGGUUUAUAAGCUGUGGGAGGUAAAGCUGGUGAAUGACUCGAGGAGUAUGGGCCCUUGGGCCAAAGUUCUUGGCCUCGGUAUGGCUUAGUGAGCCCACACUGGUGAGCUAUUUCAGUAGGAGAACUGUCAUCCGUAGAUAUCUCUCUCUUUCUUUCUCUCUCAUUCUCUGCUUGUAAGAAAGAACACUCUUUUAGUUGCCCUGUGUGAUCUUUUGCUCUUGGCAAUCUCUGCUGUAAGGGAAAACAAAGAAUCGAAAAGCAAUGUCCUUUCCAUGAAACAGGUAGCAACAACCCUGUAAUCUCCAUUUGAAAUCUGUUGGUAACUGGAAAUAGGAAUUCGAUGGUCUUUCUCUUACAGUUUAAGAAAAGGUGCUGGACAGCCAAGAUUAACUCUUGAUGCUGGUGCGUGUCCUCCUGUGUUCCUUCUGAAAUGUAUUUUCUGAAAGAAUUCCUGCUACCGUAAGCUCAGCUUUCUCACUUCGUAAUUACUACUUUUAGUAAGGUCAGGUUGUAAGUUGGUUUGUUAUUUGGAAAGGUAUAGAAUUAAGAUUUCUUAAAGGUUGUCAGAGGCUGAACAGUACAGAAACAGUUCUAGCAGGGAUACAUUUGACCAGAACAGUGCUAAAGUCUGUUCUUAAG